ACGGGAGGCAGCAGUGAGGAAUAUUGGUCAAUGGACGGAAGUCUGAACCAGCCAAGUCGCGUGAAGGAUGAAGGUAUUAUGUAUUGUAAACUUCUUUAGCAGUGGAGUAAUAAGGUGGUCGUGACCACUGAUGCAAGUACACUGAGAAUAAGGAUCGGCUAACUCCGUGCCAGCAGCCGCGGUAAUACGGAGGAUCCGAGCGUUAUCCGGAUUUAUUGGGUUUAAAGGGUGCGCAGGCGGCUUUUUAAGUCAGUGGUUAAAUCGUGACGCUCAACGUCAUCACGCCAUUGAUACUGGAGAGCUUGAUUGCGGUCGAGGUAGGCGGAAUUCGUCGUGUAGCGGUGAAAUGCAUAGAUAUGACGAAGAACCCCGAUUGCGUAGGCAGCUUACCAGCCCGACAAUGACGCUCAUGCACGAAAGUGCGGGGAUCGAACAGGAUUAGAUACCCUGGUA
rnacentral:rRNA from 1 species